AUUGAACGCUGGCGGCAUGCCUUACACAUGCAAGUCGAACGGCAGCACGGGAGCAAUCCUGGUGGCGAGUGGCGAACGGGUGAGUAAAGUAUCGGAACGUGCCCAGUCGUGGGGGAUAACGUAGCGAAAGUUACGCUAAUACCGCAUACGAUCUAUGGAUGAAAGCGGGGGGUCGCAAGACCUCGCGCGAUUGGAGCGGCCGAUAUCAGAUUAGGUAGUUGGUGGGGUAAAGGCUCACCAAGCCGACGAUCUGUAGCUGGUCUGAGAGGACGACCAGCCCCACUGGGACUGAGACACGGCCCAGACGCCUACGGGAGGCAGCAGUGGGGAAUUUUGGACAAUGGGCGAAAGCCUGAUCCAGCCAUGCCGCGUGCAGGAUGAAGGCCUUCGGGUUGUAAACUGCUUUUGUACGGAACGAAAAGGUUUGGCCUAAUAAGCUGAGCUCAUGACGGUACCGUAAGAAUAAGCACCGGCUAACUACGUGCCAGCCGCCGCCGUAA
rnacentral:rRNA from 1 species